rnacentral:rRNA from 1 species
AGCAGCCGCGGUAAUUCCAGCUCCAAUAGCGUAUAUUAAAGUUGUUGCAGUUAAAAAGCUCGUAGUUGAAUUUCGGGGUUCUACCGUCGGUCGGGCUAACAAGUCUGUACUGGUGUGUAGAACUUCUACCUUCUGGGGAACUAUCAUGUUAUUAAUUUAGCGUGGUAGGAAACCAGGACCUUUACCUUGAAAAAUUAGAGUGUUCAAAGCAGGCUUAAGUCUGAAUACAUUAGCAUGGAAUAAUAGAAUAGGACGGUGGUCCUGUUUUGUUGGUUUCUGAAUCACCGUAAUGAUUAAUAGGGAUAGUUGGGGGCAUUAGUAUUCAAUUGUCAGAGGUGAAAUUCUUGGAUUUAUUGAAGACUAACUUCUGCGAAAGCAUUUGCCAAGGAUGUUUUCAUUAAUCAAGAACGAAAGUUAGGGGAUCGAAGACGAUCAGAUACCGUCGUAGUCUUAACCAUAAACUAUGCCGACUAGGGAUCGGACGAUGUUAAAUUUUAUUGACUCGUUCGGCGCCUUACGG